AUUUUUAUAUACAUGUAUCACAGAAAUUUUACAUUCCAUCUUCAAACCGCAGAAAUAGAUUUUUUUUACAAGCCAAAAAAUAACUGCCAUAACUUUUAUGAUUUCAUGCAAAAAAGAGGGAAGAGUAAGGGGCAAAUGGGAAUUGGUUGUUCAAGGUUAAGAGUCCAAUAAGAAGUAAAAAUGUUACAUUAAGGAAGCGAUUGCUUAACACGCUGCUUAAGGUGGUAGCCAGACAAAUCCUUAACUGCAGCAUUAAGGCCAUACCAAGUUUACACAUAUAUACAAAGGAAUUUCCAUAUAAAAGACAUACUGUCAUGUUUUCUCCUGGAAAAGGACGAGGAGUUUUGUGAGUAAUUCUGACCCAAUUUUCCAGGCCAAUUAAUUGUUUAAGAUGUCCCCAGGCUACUUAGAAAUCUCUUCUGCUUUGGCUAGCUGUCGGUUACUGCUGUGUGGGCUUGUGACUUCUGUAGUCUCUUACGCGGACGCAUGAAUCAUCUUGGACCUCUUCAAUCAUGGGUGAUCAAGCACUUUGUAGCUGAACUAACUCAGCAUAUUUUUUACCUCCCCUCCCAAAAGUACUGAAAUCACAGAAUUAUAACUUGCAGUUGUCUUAGUAGACUCCACAGCCAAUCCUGGCAUUGUGACCUAAAGAAUUACAUGGUACCCUUGUUCUGUUAUUAGGGGUUAAAAUAAUCUUUGAAUAGUUAACAGUAGAAGGAACCAAAGUGUGGGGUUUCAAGUCACAUCCCUUGGAGCUGUUGAAAGUUAAUAUUGAACUUUUGGCCCUCGUGUCAUGACACAUCUAUGAAUUGGAUAUCACUGGUAGGCCUGUUCGUCCCCAAUUCUGUAUGGGCCGGCCUCCAUGUAUGGCUCCAGCGGGCGGGUUCAUAACAACUGUGGCUGCAAGAUGGGGAAACUGAGGCUCUGAGGAAACGGGAAAAUGGCCAGAGGAAGGGACAGUGAAGAUCUUUUGCCAUAAUGUCACCCUAUAAACAUUUUGAAGGGAUUCCAUUGAUGUAAAGCAUAAAUACAUCCCUGUUGGGAAAGACAGGAGCAGUGUUUUCUGACUAUAAGGAGGGUUUGUUGGAGCUACCGGCGUGUGGAAGCAAUUUCAGGAACAACGUUGCCAGGAGGUUCUGGCAGAGAGAAUUCAAACAACUGCCAUAGGAAGUGGUUUCGAGCCUUCACAGGACACACAUGUUAAAGUGCCACAGUGGAACCUUGUCCUGGUGUGUGAUGGGAUUCUCAGGUCUCGAGAAGCCCAGUCUUAGAGGCAGGUCCAUCAGUGACUUUCACGGCAAAAAAAUUAAGACUGUAAUCUCCUUGAGGGCCAAGAUUCCUCUUUCUUAACCCCUCCCUACAUGCCCACUGGAAGGCCUGGGAUGGGUUUCCAAGCCUGGCACUGACAUGGAGAAAUAAUGAAACUUUUUAUGUCACACGGUAUACCCUUUCUUCUUUUCUUCAACCUAUCAAAGUGGGAGUUUGGCUUUGAAAAAUCUCCCUCGACUCCCUCUUUUUACAGGAGAGUGAGCAGGCCAAGCAAGGUGAAGUAGCUUACCUACGUGUCCAUGGUGAGCCUGAGGUAGAGCCAGAACAAGGACCCACUUCCCAUUGACCUCUGUCCAUUUCAGAAGGCAGCGUGUUUAAAUAGGAUGCUGGAUUUCUAAAGUUGCAUAAGGGAACAGUUGAAUCUGGAGAAAGGCAGGCCCAAAACAAGGCAAUGCAGGGAACUGUGAAGCAAGGCAAGGGUGGGAAUGGG
ensembl:lncRNA